AAAAAUCCCACAAGAACAUCCUCCCACGCAGGCACUGGGUGUUGUGGAUGUCCAAGGAGUUGAGCUUUUUCUGUGGAAAUCCCAAAAUCAUAAGAGAAAGGUGGAGAGAGUCAGUCUGGAUCACCAGCCUGUAAUUCCAUAUAAUAAGAAGCUUCCUCCUGGAAUCAUCACUCUGAUUGUUGCACAAGUUAAAUGCUUCUGCUGUGAGGAGCAGCAAAGCACAGCACCACGUGGCUUGGCAGUUGCUAGCACUUAAUCUGCUGUGUCAAAGGCUCUCCCCCAGCACAUCAAGUUCAAACACCUCUGACAAGCAUUCCGUGAUCCUGAUUUCUGCUAGCAAGUGCCUUGGGAAUAAACUGUCUCGGAGCCACUAAAUAAUGUGGUGGCUGAAGUGAACACUGCCAUGGCAGCUACAAAUUCCUGCUGGUUUUAGAGCCUCUCACACUACUGCAGGUCUGAGGUGAGGAAGAAGAAAAAGCAAAACCAUUAAAAGAUGUUUGCAGUGGUACAGCAGAGACUUGUGUUUGUGAUUAAGUCUUUUCAUGAGGAUGAUUUCAAGACAGAUUAGAGAGAAAUGAUAAAUGACAUCUGGCAAAGAAGUCAGUGAGGCCUGAGAGUGUAUGCAGAAAUGUUUCCUCACAUGGUGUGAGGAAAAAUGUGUAUAUUUCUCUCAGCAGAGGGUAGUGUUUUGCUUCUGAAAUGAACCUGAGAAAUAUUUAAAAGACAGCUUAAGCUCAAAAACAUUUCUCCUGGGAGCAAAUCAGAUGCUAAAAUUAUCCUUAUCAUUGCUCAUUAUUGCAGUACAGUCAGACUGUGUCCCAAUAGUUUUGGGAGCUCACCUGUGUCUCUGUCAGGAAAGACCAUCCCCAGAUUUCUUUAUCUCCGGACUGAAGGUGAAUUCAAGCACAUGUUAAAGACCAUAGGUCCUGGAGACUUUGGGGGAAACUCUAGGGAGGAGGACUAAUUCGAGGCACCAGGAUAAAAGAUUUAGAAAUAAAAAGGAUUUUCUGAGCUUGUGCAAAGAAAUAGAGAGCAAAUUAAGUUACUUCUUCACAUUUAAAGAGCCUCUAUUUGUCAUCCCAAAGCAUAAACUAUGGAAGAGCUCUCCUGGUUUUCCUGAUCAGCUCUUUUACACCCUUCCCAUUUGAGAGAAUGGGAGAACUCAGGGCAGGGAUGCUCUGGGAUCAUGGAUCUCAUUCGGAUGUCCCGGCAGCCGGGAGAGGGAAGCGUCCCAUUCCCACGGACACCACUAGAGGCCACCGCAAACCUCGACAAAGAGCUAAAAAUCCUCCAAUUUCCAGCAGAGAGCGAAUUUACAAAGAGGAGCCAGAAGACCCUACUGUGUCCCACAUGAGCAUGUGUUUCGUGUCUUCUGUAACGAGGGAAAAUGUGCCUGAGCUUACAUCAAGCUCAUGUAUCCAUCAGGUUUUAAAUCUCUUUUUAAGGGCUUUCUUUUCCUUGAAAGAAGGGUUAGAUAGAAGAAAUAUUUUUCAUCAUCAUGGUGACUUUUGUGAGGGUAAUAUGUGUAAUAUCUGUUUCAUGGAGGGAAGCUAUUAGGUCCAGAGAAUUUAAGAGACUUGCAGAGAUUAUUAGAUAUUGUUAUUAAUUUUCUGUAGAAACAUAACCUCCUCUGGGCCAAAGAUUGUUUAAAGCUUUUUUAUUUGCUAGGCCCAGCUAUCACAUACGUUAUAAUGAAGAAAAUGGACCACAACUUUCUUAAAAUCUAGCCUUUAUUUAAUAUAAUGAACAGCCUUGCACUGAAGUGCUGUUUUUUCUACAGCUAGGUGCUGACACCAGUUUCCAAUAUUACCUCAGCUUGUACAAACCACAUUCACCUGCAGCUGCAGGACCAGGAAGCUGAUGUAGCAUUUUUCAUGGCUGAAUGCAGA